GACGAACGCUGGCGGCGUGCUUAACACAUGCAAGUCGAACGGAAAGGCCCUGCUUUUGUGGGGUGCUCGAGUGGCGAACGGGUGAGUAACACGUGAGUAACCUGCCCUUGACUUUGGGAUAACUUCAGGAAACUGGGGCUAAUACCGGAUAGGAGCUCCUGCUGCAUGGUGGGGGUUGGAAAGUUUCGGCGGUUGGGGAUGGACUCGCGGCUUAUCAGCUUGUUGGUGGGGUAGUGGCUUACCAAGGCUUUGACGGGUAGCCGGCCUGAGAGGGUGACCGGCCACAGUGGGACUGAGGUACGGCCCAGACUCCUACGGGAGGCAGCAGUGGGGAAUAUUGCACAAUGGGCGGAAGCCGGAUGCAGCAACGCCGCGUGCGGGAUGACGGCCUUCGGGUUGUAAACCGCUUUCGCCUGUGACGAAGCGUGAGUGACGGUAAUGGGUAAAGAAGCACCGGCUAACUACGUG
rnacentral:rRNA from 1 species